rnacentral:rRNA from 1 species
CCUACGGGAGGCAGCAGUGGGGAAUAUUGGACAAUGGGGGCAACCCUGAUCCAGCCAUGCCGCGUGUGUGAAGAAGGCCCUCGGGUUGUAAAGCACUUUCAGUGAGGAAGAACGCCUGGUGGUUAAUACCCAUCAGGAAUGACAUCACUCACAGAAGAAGCACCGGCUAACUCCGUGCCAGCAGCCGCGGUAAUACGGAGGGUGCGAGCGUUAAUCGGAAUUACUGGGCGUAAAGCGCGCGUAGGUGGCUUGAUAAGCCGGUUGUGAAAGCCCCGGGCUCAACCUGGGAACGGCAUCCGGAACUGUCAAGCUAGAGUGCAGGAGAGGAUGGUAGAAUUCCUGGUGUAGCGGUGAAAUGUGUAGAGAUCGGGAGGAAUACCAGUGGCGAAGGCGGCCUUCUGGACUGACACUGACACUGAGGUGCGAAAGCGUGGGUAGCAAACAGGAUUAGAUACCCUAGUAGUC